rnacentral:rRNA from 1 species
UCCAAUCGAACCUGGAGAUAGCUGGUUCUCUCCGAAAUAGCUUUAGGGCUAGCCUCAAGGGAUGAGUAUUGGAGGUAGAGCACUGAUUGGACUAGGGGCCCUCAUCGGGUUACCGAAUUCAGUCAAACUCCGAAUGCCAACUACUUUACCUUGGGAGUCAGUCUAUGGGUGAUAAGGUUCAUAGACGAAAGGGAAACAGCCCAGACCGCCAGCUAAGGUCCCAAAGUAUACGUUAAGUGGA